CUUUCUGCCCUUUCCCUUGCGGGUCGCACCCCGCCCAGGCCCCUCUCCCGCCCCAGGUCUCUCAGUCUUUUUUCUCAGGGCGUGUAGCUUCCUGCACACCCGGAAGCAGAUCGCGCGGGGAAAAGAUCACAGCGCUGCGCGUCAGUUUCCGUCUACCUGGACUAAACAUUUGCUUCGCCCCGUCUGCCUGAAUCGAACGUGCACUUGGCAGUCUUCCCUUGUCCAUACCCGUUUCCUGGGGAUCGCUACGGACCUUAAAAUACCAGCAACAGCCCCUUCGCCCCAAGGUCUUGCUCUGUCAGACUAGAGUACAGUGCCAUGAUCUCCGCUCACUGCAGCCUCAACCUCCUGGGCUCAAGCAGUCUUUCUGCCUCAGAGUGCUGGGAUUACAGACGGGAGCCACCACGCCAGGCCUACGAGAUUUGACUUGUAAAGAAUUAAUUAUAUUGACUGAGAGAGAAGCCCAGAAGAGGAAGAAGAGGAAAGAAAAGGAGUCAGGGAUGGCUCUUACACAGGGACCUUUGACAUUCAGGGAUGUAGCCAUAGAAUUCUCUCAGGAGGAGUGGAAAUCCCUGGACCCUGUGCAGAAAGCUUUGUACUGGGAUGUGAUGUUGGAGAACUACAGGAACCUGGUCUUCCUGGGUAUCCUUCCUAAAUGUAUGACCAAGGAAUUACCACCAAUAGGGAACAGUAAUACAGGAGAAAAAUGCCAAACAGUGACGCUGGAAAGACAUGAAUGUUAUGAUGUUGAAAAUUUUUACUUAAGGGAAAUCCAGAAAAAUCUACAGGACCUUGAGUUUCAAUGGAAAGAUGGUGAAAUAAAUUAUAAAGAAGUGCCAAUGACCUAUAAAAACAAUCUUAAUGGUAAAAGAGGUCAACAUAGUCAAGAGGAUGUAGAAAACAAAUGUAUUGAAAAUCAGCUUACAUUAAGCUUUCAGUCACGUCUGACUGAACUGCAGAAAUUUCAAACUGAAGGGAAAAUUUAUGAGUGUAACCAAUCUGAGAAGACAGUUAAUAACAGUUCCCUAGUUUCACCACUUCAAAGAAUUCUUCCUAGUGUCCAAACCAACAUUUCUAAAAAAUAUGAGAAUGAGUUUUUGCAGCUGUCAUUACCCACCCAACUUGAGAAAACACACAUUAGGGAAAAACCUUAUAUGUGUAAAGGGUGUGGCAAAGCCUUUAGAGUGUCUUCAAGUCUUAUUAACCAUCAGAUGGUACAUACUACAGAGAAACCUUACAAAUGCAAUGAAUGUGGCAAAGCCUUUCAUCGGGGCUCACUACUAACUAUACAUCAGAUAGUCCAUACAAGGGGGAAGCCAUAUCAAUGUGGUGUAUGUGGCAAGAUCUUCAGACAAAAUUCAGAUCUUGUAAAUCACCGGAGAAGUCACACUGGAGAGAAACCGUACAAAUGUAAUGAAUGUGGCAAGUCCUUUAGUCAAAGUUAUAACCUUGCAAUACAUCAGAGAAUUCACACUGGAGAGAAACCUUACAAAUGUAAUGAGUGUGGGAAAACCUUCAAACAAGGCUCAUGCCUCACUACACAUCAGAUAAUCCAUACAGGAGAGAAACCAUAUCAAUGUGAUAUAUGUGGCAAGGUCUUCAGGCAGAAUUCUAAUCUUGUAAAUCACCAGAGAAUCCACACUGGAGAGAAACCAUACAAAUGCAACAUAUGUGGAAAGUCCUUUAGUCAAAGUUCCAACCUGGCAACUCAUCAGACAGUUCAUAGUGGAAACAAACCUUACAAAUGUGAUGAGUGUGGCAAAACCUUUAAACGGAGCUCCAGCCUCACUACACAUCAGAUAAUCCAUACAGGAGAGAAACCAUAUACAUGUGAUGUAUGCGACAAGGUCUUCAGUCAACGUUCACAACUUGCAAGGCACCAGAGAAGUCAUACUGGAGAGAAACCUUACAAAUGCAAUGAAUGUGGCAAGGUCUUCAGUCAGACUUCACAUCUUGUGGGGCAUCGGAGAAUUCAUACUGGAGAGAAACCUUACAAAUGUGAUAAAUGUGGUAAAGCCUUUAAACAGGGCUCAUUACUCACUCGACAUAAGAUAAUUCAUACCAGAGAGAAACGUUACCAAUGCGGUGAAUGUGGAAAGGUCUUUAGUGAAAAUUCAUGCCUUGUAAGACAUUUAAGAAUUCAUACUGGGGAGCAACCUUACAAAUGUAAUGUGUGUGGCAAGGUCUUCAAUUACAGUGGAAACCUUUCAAUUCAUAAGAGAAUACAUACGGGAGAGAAACCUUUCCAAUGUAAUGAAUGUGGCACAGUCUUCAGGAACUACUCAUGCCUAGCACGUCAUCUAAGAAUUCAUACUGGGCAGAAACCUUACAAAUGUAAUGUGUGUGGCAAGGUCUUCAAUGACAGUGGAAACCUUUCAAAUCAUAAGAGAAUUCAUACUGGAGAGAAGCCGUUUCAAUGUAACGAAUGCGGCAAGGUUUUCAGUUACUACUCAUGCCUAGCACGUCAUCAGAGAAUUCAUACCGGAGAGAAACCUUACAAAUGCAAUCAGUGUGGGAAUUCCUUUAGUCAGCGUGUCCAUCUUAGACUUCAUCAGACUGUUCAUACUGGAGACAGACCUUACAAAUGUAAUGAGUGUGGCAAAACCUUUAAACGGAGCUCAAACCUCACUGCACAUCAGAUAAUUCAUGCAGGAAAGAAACCAUAUAAAUGUGAUGAAUGUGGCAAGGUAUUCAGGCAUAGUUCACAUCUUGUAAGUCACCAGAGAAUCCACACUGGAGAGAAAAGAUACAAAUGUAUUGAAUGUGGCAAAGCCUUUGGGCGGUUGUUUUCCCUCAGCAAACACCAAAGAAUUCAUUCUGGCAAAAAACCUUAUAAAUGUAAUGAGUGUGGGAAAUCUUUUAUUUGUCGCUCAGGCCUCACUAAACAUCGAAUAAGACAUACUGGAGAGAGCCUUACAACUAAACUCAAUGUGACAAGGCCUUAGACGUUGUCCUAGUUUCUGGAAUCACCGAAUAAUUCCUACUUACUGAUAUACCUUGUAUAUUUACCCCUUCUCUUGAAAUCCCUGUGGAAUUGUAAUCUCCAGUAUUGGAGGUGGGGCCCAUUGGGAGGUGAUUGAAUCAUGGAAGUGGAUUUCUCAAACUGAGAAAGAUGUAGCGUCAUCCCCUUGGUGCUGUCCUGGCAAUAGUGACUUCUCUUGAGGUCUGGCUGUUUAGAAGUGCAUAGCACUUCCCUGUCGCUUGCCCUCAUUCUCACCAUGUGAAAUACCGACACCCGCUUUGCCUUCCACCAUGAUUUUAACCUUCCUGAGGCUUCCCUAGAGGGUGAUCAGAUGCCAGCACCAUGUUUUCAUUUAAGCCUUCAGAAAUAUGAGCCAAUUAAACUCUUUUCUUUAUACAUUAGCCAGCCUCAGGUUUUUUUUUGUAGCAAUGCAGUUAUGACCUAAUACAUUUACACAUGCAGUAAAUAUACCUAAGUUUUAAGCUAGUAUUCACUACUCACUAGGUGUAAGAAUUUGUAUAUAUAUUCCAGGAUGUAUACAUCCUGGAGAAAAAUCACAGAAGUGUAAUACGUGUGGCAAGAAUUCUACUCAAAAGCCAGAACUUGUAAAUCUAGGUAAUUAAAAGGGCAUAGAUGUAUGAAAUGAAAUGAGGGUGGCAAAACCUUUACUAGAGUUCAAUCACUACUUGUCAUAAGAGAGUUUAUACUGAAAGGAAAUCAUAUAAAUGUAUGUGUCAGAGGCUUUCCCCAGGCAUUGGAACUCACUAGGCAUCAGAAUAUACAUCUUUGAGAGGAACCACAGAAAUGUAAUGUGCAUGCUAAGGUUUUUACCCGAACAUCAAAAUGGAAAGAGUAUUCAUACUAGAGACAACCUUCCAAAUAAAUGGUUUUAAAAAAUGAAAUGUUCAAAGACCUGGAAUCAACCCAAAUGCUUAUCAGUGAUAGACUGAAUAAAGAAAAUGUGGUACAUAUACACCAUGGGAUACUAUGCAGCCAUAGAAAGGAAUGAGAUCAUGUCCAUUGCAGCGAUGUGGAUGGAGCUGGAAGCCAUUAUCCUCAGGAAACUAACACAGGAACAGAAAAUCAAACAGCACAUGUUCUCACUUAAAAGUGGAAGCUGAACAAUGAGAACACAUAUACCCAGGGAGGGGAGCAACACACACUGGGGCCUGCUGAUGGGGGUGGGAAGGGCAGGGAAGUGGAGCAUCAGGACAAAUAGCUAAUGCAUUUUUGCCUUAAUACCAGGUGAUGGGUUGGUAGAUGCAGCAAACCACCAUGGCACACAUUUUCCUAUGUAACAAAUUUGCAAAUUGUGCACAUGUACCCAGAACUUAAAGUGAGACAAAACCAAUGUCCACGCCUUUGCAGUUUGAUUGAACGUAUAAAGGAGAAAAAUCCUGUAAGUAUGCUGAACAUGAAAGGACCUGGAAGCAGUAGUGUGUC
rnacentral:lncRNA from 1 species